UACGUAGGGCGCAAGCGUUGUCCGGAAUUAUUGGGCGUAAAGAGCUCGUAGGUGGCUUGUUGCGUCUGCCGUGAAAGCCCGUGGCUUAACUACGGGUCUGCGGUGGAUACGGGCAGGCUAGAGGCUGGUAGGGGCAAGCGGAAUUCCCGGUGUAGCGGUGAAAUGCGCAGAUAUCAGGAGGAACACCGGUGGCGAAGGCGGCUUGCUGGGCCAGUUCUGACGCUGAGGAGCGAAAGCGUGGGGAGCGAACAGG
rnacentral:rRNA from 1 species